rnacentral:rRNA from 1 species
UCUGCCUGGUAGUGGGGGAUAACGUCCGGAAACGGACGCUAAUACCGCAUACGUCCUACGGGAGAAAGCAGGGGACCUUCGGGCCUUGCGCUAUCAGAUGAGCCUAGGUCGGAUUAGCUAGUUGGUGGGGUAAUGGCUCACCAAGGCGACGAUCCGUAACUGGUCUGAGAGGAUGAUCAGUCACACUGGAACUGAGACACGGUCCAGACUCCUACGGGAGGCAGCAGUGGGGAAUAUUGGACAAUGGGCGAAAGCCUGAUCCAGCCAUGCCGCGUGUGUGAAGAAGGUCUUCGGAUUGUAAAGCACUUUAAGUUGGGAGGAAGGGCAGUAAAUUAAUACUUUGCUGUUUUGACGUUACCGACAGAAUAAGCACCGGCUAACUCUGUGCCAGCAGCCGCGGUAAUACAGAGGGUGCAAGCGUUAAUCGGAAUUACUGGGCGUAAAGCGCGCGUAGGUGGUUCGUUAAGUUGGAUGUGAAAUCCCCGGGCUCAACCUGGGAACUGCAUUCAAAACUGACGAGCUAGAGUAUGGUAGAGGGUGGUGGAAUUUCCUGUGUAGCGGUGAAAUGCGUAGAUAUAGGAAGGAACACCAGUGGCGAAGGCGACCACCUGGACUGAUACUGACACUGAGUGCGAAAGCGUGGGGAGCAACAGGAUUAGAUACC